AGCUACUCGGACGUGGUUAGGCUUAUCUAGAGGAGCUGAAAUCGGAUCCUGUGCUGCAGGAGUGGACUGGGUGGUCGGAGGAGCAGACGUGAGGAUCGACAGGGAUUCCACAUACUAAACCCCUCCAGGGGGAAUCAGGAGCAGAGGGUCACGCAUGAGUGAGCGGGGAACAGCUAGGGGGUAAACAGGCAUUACGCAUUACUGGCAUACCAUAGAGGGAGCUUGCUUUACACAACCUUCCCAUUAUCUCUCUAUUUCACACUACACAUACUUCCCCACACCGUCUACUAGGAUUUGUUUACAGACCAGGACAGCUGCAUUUUUCCUUUGGACUGCAGAUCGAAAACCAAACGGAGUACCGUUGCAGAAAUCUGAACCCCUGGUAGCAUUAACGACACUGACAUCCAUCUUGCCUGGGACUAGAGGAGGCCCACAGAUGAAGUCGUGACACUUGAAGUCUCUCGGCAGUGCAGAUCACUGUUUUGCAGUCAGAUUGCGUUUCUGACAAACGAGAGUGGAAAGAGGUGAUGACAGCAGCGCUGCCCUUUCUGAAAAAAAAAGAAAAAAAAAAGAUCUUUCCAUCAACGACUUGUGUGAAAAUCUGAUGAUGUUUUAGGUCCUAUUUAUGCAGAAAAACAGAAAAUUCUACAUUUCACAACUACGCAGGGUCAUGGGGGAACCUGGAGCCUAUCCCAUUGGGCACAAGGCGGGGUACACCCUGGACAGGGUGCCAGUCCAUCCCAGUGUUGCAGUGAAUCCAGUGAAUCCAGAAUCCAUUCACACACCUAUGGGCAAUUUCGCAUUACCAGUCUGCGUACCUGCAUGUUUUUGGAUAGCAGGAGGAAAACGAAGAAGCAGAACCCGGGGAGAACAUGAAAAACUCAGUACAGACAUGAAACUGUGCCAGCAUGCCAUUAAGAACAACAACAACAACAACAACAGCAACAACAACAAUAAUAAUCUGAAUCCAUCUGAAAAUCUUUGUACAUCAUGAGAUAUUGGUUAAAUAAUUUUACACCAAAACCCAGCUGAGAGAUCAGGCUAAAUAUUCUCACCACUGACUGAGGAGAUAGAGGGCACAGUGAAAUAACAACAGUAAUAAUUAAAAAAAUUCAACAGCAGUCUAGCGGAUCACUAAUUGAGGUUCAUAGUGAUAAUAAAGUGCUGAAGACCUCUGCUCACCAUGAGAAUAUAAUGAGAUUUGAUCUAUUAUUCAGGAUCAAUGUAACAGGGAAAUAGCCAACCUGGUAAAGCCAUCAGAAUGGGUCCUAUAUCUAUUAUGUAUUGGUUAAUAAAACAUUGUGUCUCUGAUAUUAUAAAGGCAUCUGAAGUGUUAAAACUAUCGGUUCUACGUUUUCACAAAAGGUGCUUGGAAAAUAUUUUGAGCUACAAUACCAUCAGUGCUAGUGUGGUGUAAUAUUGACAGUAAUUGGCCUCUUGAAGAGCUUAUUUCCUCCAAAGAAACACAUAUAUGACUCCAGUUGCUCUUUUAGGGAAAAAAAAAAAAACAAGAAAAGAAAAACAGAUUAAAACAGAUGGUGUGUAGUUUAA